rnacentral:rRNA from 1 species
GACGAACGCUGGCGGCGUGCUUAACACAUGCAAGUCGAACGGUGAACCGGGCUUCGGCCCGGGGAUCAGUGGCGAACGGGUGCGUAACACGUGGGCAACCUGCCUCAGACACUGGGGAUAACCCCGGGAACCGGGGCGUAAUACCGGAUACUCCGACCGGACUGCAUGAUCCGGCCGGGAAAGCUCCGACGGUCUGAGAUGGGCCCGCGGCCUAUCAGCUUGUUGGUGGGGUAACGGCCCACCAAGGCGACGACGGGUAGCUGGUCUGAGAGGACGACCAGCCACACUGGAACUGAGACACGGUCCAGACUCCUACGGGAGGCAGCAGUGGGGAAUCUUGCGCAAUGGGCGAAAGCCUGACGCAGCGACGCCGCGUGGGGAUGAAGGCCGUCGGUUGUAAACCCCUUUCGGCAGGGACGAAGCGAACGUGACGGUACCUGCAGAAGAAGUCCC